CAAGCACCUCGGUAGGUGAGGCGUCUGCAUGGAUACAGGCCACUGACCCCGAACGUCGAGAGACGCCCCGGGUCAGGACAGCUCUUCCCGGACCCAAGGGUUGAGCCCAAGUGGCUUCCGGAGCCCCGGAUACGCCGUGCAGUGCCGAAGCUCCGACGAGAGGGGUGCGAC
rnacentral:sRNA from 22 species